rnacentral:rRNA from 1 species
AUUGAACGCUGGCGGCAGGCCUAACACAUGCAAGUCGAACGGUAGCACAGAGAGCUUGCUCUUGGGUGACGAGUGGCGGACGGGUGAGUAAUGUCUGGGAAACCGCCCGAUGGAGGGGGAUAACUACUGGAAGCGGUAGCUAAUACCGCAUAACGUCGCAAGACCAAAGUGGGGGACCUUCAGGCCUCACACCAUCGGAUGUGCCCAGAUGGGAUUAGCUAGUUGGUGAGGUAAUGGCUCACCAAGGCGACGAUCCCUAGCUGGUCUGAGAGGAUGACCAGCCACACUGGAACUGAGACACGGUCCAGACUCCUACGGGAGGCAGCAGUGGGGAAUAUUGCACAAUGGGCGCAAGCCUGAUGCAGCCAUGCCGCGUGUAUGAAGAAGGCCUUCGGGUUGUAAAGUACUUUCAGCGAGGAGGAAGGCGUUAAGGUUAAUAACCUUAGCGAUUGACGUUACUCGCAGAAGAAGCACCGGCUAACUCCGUGCCAGCCGCCGCAGUAA